AUUGAACGCUAGCGGCAUGCCUUACACAUGCAAGUCGAACGGCAGCACGGGGGCAACCCUGGUGGCGAGUGGCGAACGGGUGAGUAAUGCAUCGGAACGUGCCCAUCGAUGGGGGAUAACUGCGCGAAAGCGUUGCUAAUACCGCAUACGACCUACGGGUGAAAGCAGGGGACCGCAAGGCCUUGCGUCGAUGGAGCGGCCGAUGCCGGAUUAGCUAGUUGGUGAGGUAAAGGCUCACCAAGGCGACGAUCCCGUAGCUGGUCUGAGAGGACGACCCAGCCACACUGGGACUGAGACACGGCCCAGACUCCUACGGGAGGCAGCAGUGGGGAAUCUUGGACAAUGGGCGAAAGCCUGAUCCAGCAAUGCCGCGUGUGGGAAGAAGGCCCUCGGGUUGUAAACCACUUUUGGCGGGAAAGAAAUGGUCUGUGCUAAUACCACGGAUUGAUGACGGUACCCGCAGAAUAAGCACCGGCUAACUACGUG
rnacentral:rRNA from 1 species